rnacentral:lncRNA from 1 species
UCGAAGUUUAUCCUAGUACACUUUUCUAUCAGAUAUUUCCUCUCUCCUCUUUUUUAACCAUAAAACCCUUUCUCUCUCCUCAUUACUUUAAUACUAAUACUUUAUGUACUAUAUUUUAUAAGUAUUCAUGGUGCCAUCAGCUCACAGUUUAUGAAUUCGCCGACAAUCCAACAGCUCCGAUUCUAUCAAACGUUCCUCGUUGACCGCAGCUCCGUCUUCGGAAAAUGGAUGCAGGAGGAGGAUCCGGCGAAUUUGGAUAUUACUCCGUCCUCGGGAUUUGCCAGGACGCCUCAUUCUCCGACAUUUGCUCCGCUUAUCGCAAGCUCGCUUUGGUAAAGUUAAUAUGACGUCAUUUUUUCUCUUUUUCCGAUUCGUUUUUAUAUUUCCGGUUGUGUAAUUUUUUUGAUUUUGUGAAGAAAUGGCACCCUGACAGAUGCGCGAAGAACCCGACGUGCGCCGACGAAGCCAAUCACCGGUUCCANNNNNNNNNNNNNNNN